ACCAGGAUGGCCGAGUGGUUAAGGCAUUGGACUUAAGAUAUAAUUGGCUACAGCCCUCAUGGGUUUAAACCCCACUCCUGUUA
rnacentral:tRNA from 1 species